UGAAGCUUGAAGAAUGAUCAAGCAAAAGUGUACAUUGAUAAAUGGACCAAAAACACUACAGGAAGGAAUCCGGUCCACUGAUAAGCCUAUUUUAGAUGAUAUCAAUAGAAUUUAUGGUCAAGUUCAAUUCCAACCACCCAACUCUUUCGGGCUCUAUCCAAAUUGAUCCAAGAUCCGGUCCAUUGAUCGUCGGUGUUGGACGACCCAAUGGGUUUUAUGUUGGCACAAGUAAGAAAAUAUAAGGAGCCCCAGUCCAACCAUAAAUCCUCCGUUCCCCAACUCUUCCUUAUCUCAGUACAUCACCGAUAUUGUGGAAUCCUACUUAGCUC
rnacentral:lncRNA from 1 species